CAGGGCGUCGCCAAGCGGUAAGGCAGCAGGUUUUGAUCCUGCCAUGCGUUGGUUCGAAUCCAGCCGCCCCUGCCA
rnacentral:tRNA from 2 species